UCCGGAGGGUGCAAACGUUGCUCGGAAUCAUUGGGCGUAAAGCGCACGUAGGCGGCCUGAUAAGUCGGGUGUGAAAGCCCUGGGCUCAACCCAGGAAGUGCACUCGAAACUGCCAGGCUUGAAUAUGGAAGAGGGUCGCGGAAUUCCCGGUGUAGAGGUGAAAUUCGUAGAUAUCGGGAGGAACACCAGUGGCGAAGGCGGCGACCUGGGCCAAUAUUGACGCUGAGGUGCGAAAGCGUGGGGAGCAAACAGG
rnacentral:rRNA from 1 species